rnacentral:rRNA from 1 species
AUUGAACGCUGGCGGCAGGCCUAACACAUGCAAGUCGAACGGUAACAGGAAGAAGCUUGCUUCUUUGCUGACGAGUGGCGGAUGGGUGAGUAAUGUCUGGGAAACUGCCGGAUGGAGGGGGAUAAGUACUGGAAACGGUAGCUAAUACCGCAUAACGUCGCAAGACCAAAGAGGGGGACCUUCGGGCCUCUUGUCAUGGGAUGUGCCCAGAUGGGAUUAGCUAGUAGGUGGGGUAACGGCUCACCUAGGCGACGAUCCCUAUCUGGUCUGAGAGGAUGACCAGCCACACUGGAACUGAGACACGGUCCAUACUCCUACGGGAGGCAGCAGUGGGGAAUAUUGCACAAUGGGCGCAAGCCUGAUGCAGCCAUGCCGCGUGUAUGAAGAAGGCCUUCGGGUUGUAAAGUACUUUCAGCGGGGAGGAAGGGAAUAAAGUUAAUACCUUUGCUCAUUGACGUUACCCGCAGAAUAAGCACCGGCUAACUCCGUG